GACGAACGCUGGCGGCGUGCUUAACACAUGCAAGUCGAACGGUGAAGCGCCUUCCUUUUUGGUGGGUGUGGAUGAGUGGCGAACGGGUGAGCAACACGUGAGUAACCUGCCCCCUUCUUCUGGAUAACCGCAUGAAAGUGUGGCUAAUACGGGAUAUUCUGGGUCUGUCGCAUGAUGGGUCUGGGAAAGAUAUUGUUUCGGUGGGGGAUGGGCUCGCGGCCUAUCAGCUUGUUGGUGGGGUGAUGGCCUACCAAGGCGGUGACGGGUAGCCGGCCUGGGAGGGUGGACGGUCACACUGGGGCUGAGACACGGCCCAGACUCCUACGGGAGGCAGCAGUGGGGAAUAUUGCACAAUGGGCGGAAGCCUGAUGCAGCGACGCCGCGGGAGGGAUGGAGGCCGUCGGGUUGUGAACCUCUUUCGCCAGUGAAGCAGGCCUGCCUCGUUUGUGGGUGGGUUGACGGUAGCUGGAUAAGAAGCGCCGGCUAACUACGUG
rnacentral:rRNA from 1 species